GCCUCCUUCUUCAUCGAAGACCGCCGAGGAGAGAAGCUGGGCUUCAAAGUCACCAUACUGCUGGCCAUCUCCGUCCUGCUGCUCAUCCUCAAUGACAUCCUGCCCUCCAUGUCCAACAAGACUCCCCUCAUAGCCACCUACUGCGUCGUGAUUUUCGCUCUGAUGCUGCUCAGCCUGCUGGAGACCAUCUUGGUUACAUAUUUCAUGGAGAAAGACUGUGCCUCCAAGAAGAAGAUCAGGCUGAGGGAAAACAGGGAGAACAAGCAGGACACCUUCAUCACAGAGGAGAAAAGACAAAGCGGCUGUCUGAGCAUCUGCAAAGCGUCAGAUGGUGAGAAACAACAUGAAUUGCUGCCGAUGGUUCAAGAGGUAAAGACAAUGUCGGUUCCAAUGAAACAUCAUUAUCACAAGACAGGUGGUCAAAACUGGGUUUUAGACCAAAAUGUAUUGUCUCAUCAGGUUAAAUGUAGAUUCCAGGUCAUUAAAAUUGGGUUAGAUUUUGAACUUCAUAAAUUGCUCUGAAGUCGGAGAAACUACUUUUCCCACGAUUCCUUUUGCUUUUAGUGAAAUUAAAUGCUUUGCUUUAAAAGAGACCCCAAAUGCUUUGAUUUAGAUUUCAUCCACAAAAUAAUCCACAUUUAUGAAUUACAUGUAUAUUUCUAUUUGUACAUUUACAUCAUGACCUAAGGGCAUUAAUCUCAUUAAACCAUCCAAAGUAUUAAUGAGGUGGCAGACAGUAAAGAAGGCGGUUGUGUCCACCUGGCUUGAGACAUGAAUGCAUUCAUAAUCCCAGUCAUGACUCCUGAUGUUUGCAGGUUAACAACAGCGUUCAGGCCCGAGAGAGUGACACGUUGCUGCUGAUCAUGGAGGAGCUGAAGGAGUUGCAGAAUAUUUUGAAUCUGCACCUCGUCUGUAGACAGGACGGAGGGAAGUCUGGCCUCUUGGCCGCAAGAAUCAACAGAGCUUUCUUCAUUUUCUACAUCACCAUCGUGUCACUGUUCCUCACCCUCAUCUUCAUCGCAUGGACCACUUAAACCUUUUUAACCAUGUUAAACCUUUAAGUCAACACAUGCCGUAUGAAUUUGAUGUAGAAUCUAGAAGUUGUGCCAUGUUUGGUAUCUACAAUGUCUCAUUGUGAAUCUAUUUAAUUCAGUUUAAAUGAGAUAACUUGAAUUGUAUUUACUCUAUCCUGCAGACUGGUGGCGCCAAAAUCUUUAGUGUUGAUGAAGAAAAGGUCCCUGCAGAGCUGUCUAGGGCAUUGCCUUUUAAUAAGAGUGUAUAAAAUGUGUGGGGAAUAAAUCACAAAAUAAUAAUAAUGUUUGAGUUUUGAAAAAGGCAAAAAGCAAAACAAUGACCGUUUUAAACAUAUUUGUGUGCUGAAAUAAAUAUAUCAAAACCUUGUGUUGUGUUUUUAAAUGGUUAAAGACGCUCAGCAUCCACCGGAGGGUUUAAAAUUAGCAUUUAAAUAGUUUUCAGAAGCUGAU
ensembl:lncRNA